AUGGUUAAUACCCAUGGACGAUGACAUUAGCUGCAGAAUAAGCACCGGCUAACUCUGUGCCAGCAGCCGCGGUAAUACAGAGGGUGCAAGCGUUAAUCGGAAUUACUGGGCGUAAAGCGAGCGUAGGUGGCUUGAUAAGUCAGAUGUGAAAUCCCCGGGCUUAACCUGGGAACUGCAUCUGAUACUGUUAGGCUAGAAUAGGUGAGAGGAAGGUAGAAUUCCAGGUGUAGCGGUGAAAUGCGUAGAGAUCUGGAGGAAUACCGAUGGCGAAGGCAGCCUUCUGGCAUCAUAUUGACACUGAGGUUCGAAAGCGUGGGUAGCAAACAGGAUUAGAUACCCUGGUAGUCCACGCCGUAAACGAUGUCUACUAGUCGUUGGGUCCCUUGAGGACUUAGUGACGCAGCUAACGCAAUAAGUAGACCGCCUGGGGAGUACGGCCGCAAGGUUAAAACUCAAAUGAAUUGACGGGGGCCCGCACAAGCGGUGGAGCAUGUGGUUUAAUUCGAUGCAACGCGAAGAACCUUACCUGGUCUUGACAUAUCUAGAAUCCUGCAGAGAUGCGGGAGUGCCUUCGGGAAUUAGAAUACAGGUGCUGCAUGGCUGUCGUCAGCUCGUGUCGUGAGAUGUUGGGUUAAGUCCCGCAACGAGCGCAACCCUUGUCCUUAGUUACCAGCGGGUUAAGCCGGGAACUCUAAGGAUACUGCCAGUGACAAACUGGAGGAAGGCGGGGACGACGUCAAGUCAUCAUGGCCCUUACGACCAGGGCUACACACGUGCUACAAUGGUAGGUACAGAGGGCAGCUAC
rnacentral:rRNA from 1 species